rnacentral:rRNA from 1 species
GGGUUGUGAGGUUAAGCGACUAAGCGUACACGGUGGAUGCCCUGGCAGUCAGAGGCGAUGAAGGACGUGCUAAUCUGCGAAAAGCGCCGGCGAGGUGAUAUGAACCUUUGACCCGGCGAUGUCCGAAUGGGGAAACCCAGUGUGAUCCGUCACACUAUCGUUAACUGAAUACAUAGGUUAACGAGGCGAACCGGGGGAACUGAAACAUCUAAGUACCCCGAGGAAAAGAAAUCAACCGAGAUUCCCCCAGUAGCGGCGAGCGAACGGGGAGCAGCCCAGAGUCUGAAUCAGCUUGUGUGUUAGUGGAAGCGUCUGGAAAGUCGCACGGUACAGGGUGACAGUCCCGUACACGAAAGCACACAGGCUGUGAACUCGAAGAGUAGGGCGGGACACGUGGUAUCCUGUCUGAAUAUGGGGGGACCAUCCUCCAAGGCUAAAUACUCCUGACUGACCGAUAGUGAACCAGUACCGUGAGGGAAAGGCGAAAAGAACCCCGGCGAGGGGAGUGAAAAAGAACCUGAAACCGUGUACGUACAAGCAGUGGGAGCCUCUUUUAUGGGGUGACUGCGUACCUUUUGUAUAAUGGGUCAGCGACUUAUAUUCUGUAGCAAGGUUAACCGUAUAGGGGAGCCGAAGGGAAACCGAGUCUUAACUGGGCGUUAAGUUGCAGGGUAUAGACCCGAAACCCGGUGAUCUAGCCAUGGGCAGGUUGAAGGUUGGGUAACACUAACUGGAGGACCGAACCGACUAAUGUUGAAAAAUUAGCGGAUGACUUGUGGCUGGGGGUGAAAGGCCAAUCAAACCGGGAGAUAGCUGGUUCUCCCCGAAAGCUAUUUAGGUAGCGCCUCGUGAAUUCAUCUUCGGGGGUAGAGCACUGUUUCGGCUAGGGGGCCAUCCCGGCUUACCAACCCGAUGCAAACUACGAAUACCGAAGAAUGUUAUCACGGGAGACACACGGCGGGUGCUAACGUCCGUCGUGAAGAGGGAAACAACCCAGACCGCCAGCUAAGGUCCCAAAGUCAUGGUUAAGUGGGAAACGAUGUGGGAAGGCACAGACAGCCAGGAUGUUGGCUUAGAAGCAGCCAUCAUUUAAAGAAAGCGUAAUAGCUCACUGGUCGAGUCGGCCUGCGCGGAAGAUGUAACGGGGCUAAACCAUGCACCGAAGCUGCGGCAGCGACGCUUAUGCGUUGUUGGGUAGGGGAGCGUUCUGUAAGCCGUUGAAGGUGUCCUGUGAGGGGUGCUGGAGGUAUCAGAAGUGCGAAUGCUGACAUAAGUAACGAUAAAGCGGGUGAAAAGCCCGCUCGCCGGAAGACCAAGGGUUCCUGUCCAACGUUAAUCGGGGCAGGGUGAGUCGACCCCUAAGGCGAGGCCGAAAGGCGUAGUCGAUGGGAAACAGGUUAAUAUUCCUGUACUUGGUGUUACUGCGAAGGGGGGACGGAGAAGGCUAUGUUAGCCGGGCGACGGUUGUCCCGGUUUAAGCAUGUAGGCGGAGGUUCCAGGUAAAUCCGGUUCCUUGUUAACGCUGAGGUGUGAUGACGAGGCACUACGGUGCUGAAGUAACAAAUGCCCUGCUUCCAGGAAAAGCCUCUAAGCAUCAGGUAACAUCAAAUCGUACCCCAAACCGACACAGGUGGUCAGGUAGAGAAUACCAAGGCGCUUGAGAGAACUCGGGUGAAGGAACUAGGCAAAAUGGUGCCGUAACUUCGGGAGAAGGCACGCUGAUAUGUAGGUGAAGUCCCUGCGGAUGGAGCUGAAAUCAGUCGAAGAUACCAGCUGGCUGCAACUGUUUAUUAAAAACACAGCACUGUGCAAACACGAAAGUGGACGUAUACGGUGUGACGCCUGCCCGGUGCCGGAAGGUUAAUUGAUGGGGUUAGCGGCAACGCGAAGCUCUUGAUCGAAGCCCCGGUAAACGGCGGCCGUAACUAUAACGGUCCUAAGGUAGCGAAAUUCCUUGUCGGGUAAGUUCCGACCUGCACGAAUGGCGUAAUGAUGGCCAGGCUGUCUCCACCCGAGACUCAGUGAAAUUGAACUCGCUGUGAAGAUGCAGUGUACCCGCGGCAAGACGGAAAGACCCCGUGAACCUUUACUAUAGCUUGACACUGAACACUGGUCCUUGAUGUGUAGGAUAGGUGGGAGGCUUUGAAGCGUGGACGCCAGUCUGCGUGGAGCCAACCUUGAAAUACCACCCUUUAAUGGCUGGUGUUCUAACGUAGACCCGUAAUCCGGGUUGCGGACAGUGUCUGGUGGGUAGUUUGACUGGGGCGGUCUCCUCCCAAAGAGUAACGGAGGAGCACGAAGGUUAGCUAAUCCUGGUCGGACAUCAGGAGGUUAGUGCAAUGGCAUAAGCUAGCUUGACUGCGAGAGUGACGGCUCGAGCAGGUGCGAAAGCAGGUCAUAGUGAUCCGGUGGUUCUGAAUGGAAGGGCCAUCGCUCAACGGAUAAAAGGUACUCCGGGGAUAACAGGCUGAUACCGCCCAAGAGUUCAUAUCGACGGCGGUGUUUGGCACCUCGAUGUCGGCUCAUCACAUCCUGGGGCUGAAGUAGGUCCCAAGGGUAUGGCUGUUCGCCAUUUAAAGUGGUACGCGAGCUGGGUUUAGAACGUCGUGAGACAGUUCGGUCCCUAUCUGCCGUGGGCGCUGGAGAAUUGAGGGGGGCUGCUCCUAGUACGAGAGGACCGGAGUGGACGCAUCACUGGUGUUCGGGUUGUCAUGCCAAUGGCACUGCCCGGUAGCUAAAUGCGGAAGAGAUAAGUGCUGAAAGCAUCUAAGCACGAAACUUGCCCCGAGAUGAGUUCUCCCUGAGACUUUAAGUCUCCUGAAGGAACGUUGAAGACUACGACGUUGAUAGGUCGGGUGUGUAAGCGCAGCGAUGCGUUGAGCUAACCGAUACUAAUGAACCGUGAGGCUUAACCUUACAACGCCGAAGGUGUUU